rnacentral:rRNA from 1 species
GACGAACGCUGGCGGCGUGCUUAACACAUGCAAGUCGAACGGAAAGGCCCUGCUUUUGUGGGGUGCUCGAGUGGCGAACGGGUGAGUAACACGUGAGUAACCUGCCCUUGACUUUGGGAUAACUUCACGAGACUAGAGCUAAUACCGGAUAGGAGCUCCUGCUGCAUGGUGGGGGUUGGAAAGUUGCGGCGGUUGGGGAUGGACUCGCGGCUUAUCAGCUUGUUGGUGGGGUAGUGGCUUACCAAGGCUUUGACGGGUAGCCGGCCUGAGAGGGGGACCGGCCACAUUGGGACUGAGAGACGGCGCAGACUCCUACGGGAGGCAGCAGUGGGGAAUAUUGCACAGCGGGCGGAAGCCUGAUGCAGCAGCGCCGCGUGCGGGAUGACGGCCUUCGGGUUGUAAACCGCGUUCGCCUGUGACGAAGCGUGAGUGACGGUAACGGGUAAAGAAGCACCGGCUAACUACGUG